rnacentral:lncRNA from 1 species
GCGGAAACACAUGCAGCUAGUGGAGAAGCUGGAUGAGAGUUCCGUGUAGGACCGGGGUUCCACCAGUCCCUUCUCCCACCCCUGCCAGCAGUGUUACAGACUCAGCGAAACUACCUCUGGGUCCACAGCGCCGGGCUGGGCCCGGGCUUGGCCAUCCCUUUGGCUUUUCAUUCACUUUUGAGACUUGAUGUACAGAAAAAAAAAAAAAAAAAAACAGUGGGAAAAGAAAGGGAAAAAUAUUCCCCAAAGAAGAAUCUAUUUAAAUUUGGGAGCUCUAUUUAUGUAUAAAAACCCACCGAUGGUGACCACAAGCUGGAGGCAGGAGCUGGAGCACAGCUGACAGUGGACAUGGGGAGGGAGGGCUUAUGUCUGUCUGUCCAUGUGUCCAUCCAGGCAGGCAAGACCCUGUCCUGGUUGUGUGGACCUGGCCCACCCCAUUGGGCAUCCCCAGCUCUGGGUGCCCAGGCACUGAGAGGGCUGCCUGCAGGAAAGAUGCUCAGCGAGGGACUACGAGGAAGAGGAGAGCUGUCCCCACAAGUGGGAUGAAACUGCCUGUGCCCGCCAUCAGCCCAGGGGUGCUGCUGGCAGCAGGACUGCUCUCCGUGCCUGAGGGCCACACACACCAGUUGGCUCGUCUGCAUCUUCGCCAUGCGGUGUGGGAAGGGACCAGCGUCCUCUCGGCAUCCUUGCCCUGCAGACUGGACACGAUGCACUUUUGCAUCCUCAUGCAGUGCCAGCAGAUGCUGGGAUCUUGGCCGCUGCCCCGUGCCACGGACUGUCCCCUCGCACGCUGAGGAGCCCUGCCCCAGGCUUGCUCCCUGCGGGGCCUCCAGCUCCCCGUGGCCCUGCUGGCCCUGACUCCCUCUCCCCCCUCAUCUACCUCUGCUCCCUCACCCUGGGGACAAGAGGACACCCCAGCUCUGUCCCUCCGUGUCCCCCUCUGUCACCCCCUGGACUGAGGGCAUCGCCCAGAGCGCGGCCCCCUCCCCACCGGGCAUUCCCUUCCCUCUCUGGGGCGGACGAGCCACCCCCAGGGCGCAUCGCAUUCCUCCGGUACGGCCCCAGGGCAAUAAAGGCGACGGCUCUGCGUGGAAGCGGCGGUGC